rnacentral:lncRNA from 1 species
ACUGUGGGUAGAUUGGUUGAUAUCAGAAACAUUGUAAAAGAUCUUAACACUGUGAAUUAUAACAAAUGUUUGAAGUAUUGCACUUGGUCAUUCAUUGUGAGAAUUUGAUCUCGGGAAAUUAUCGUAACUGCUGUAUUGAUCAUUAACCCGGUUUUUGUGAAAUUCGUUAAGGUUCGAAUCUCAUGACUACCGUUAAGGUUUGAUUUGGGUUUUACACCAAUACGUAUUCUAUUCUGUUAAACCACCAAAAACACUCCCAACUACACCCUUACAAUCAAACAAACUAUUAAAUCAUCAGAAGAUCCAGAAUAAUAAAGUACAUGCCUAAUUAUCGAAAGAAGUAGAAUCAAGAAGUUUGUUAACUCAAUCCUGCAUGCUGAAUUGUGAGUUAUUCUUCUUUUAUAAACUCUUUUCUCACAGUUUGUGAGUUAUUAACUGUUUUACAAUACUCCAAAUUAUUUUCAGAAUUAUAACUUACAGUGAUUAAGUUUAUGUAAUCACCAAAUUACAGCCGGUAUGUGGGGUAUUGUAUACAUUACUUGAUAAUCGUCACCAUUGGGGCAGCCAUUGGGUGAUAUGACCAUAAUCACAGACACCAUUGGACGUAUGGGCCAAUGGGUCGAGUGGUAAAGUACUGUGGGUAGAUUGGUUGAUAUCAGAAACAUUGUAAAAGAUCUUAACACUGUGAAUUAUAACAAAUGUGUCGUUUUCAGUAAAAUGAAUAAUUCACUCAGUAUUUCCCGCUGACAAAAUCUUUUUAAAACGCGUUUCAGGUAAUUACAAUAGAUUGGAGCAAGGAUUGGAUCCGACACUGAAGGACUUCAAGAAGUGGCUUAUUUUCAAAUUAAGAAAUAUUGUUUUUAUUAAAAGCUACCUUUGUAAAACAUGGAAUUUAUUCCAUCUUUUUAAAUAAAAUCCGGUGUUUCUAAACUCUGAUAUUUUUCCUAACUCACGGUCCU